UGGGGAAUUUUGGACAAUGGGCGCAAGCCUGAUCCAGCAAUGCCGCGUGCAGGAUGAAGGCCUUCGGGUUGUAAACUGCUUUUGUACGGAACGAAAAGCCUCUCUCUAAUACAGGGGGGUGAUGACGGUACCGUAAGAAUAAGCACCGGCUAACUACGUGCCAGCAGCCGCGGUAAUACGUAGGGUGCAAGCGUUAAUCGGAAUUACUGGGCGUAAAGCGUGCGCAGGCGGUUUUGUAAGACAGUGGUGAAAUCCCCGGGCUCAACCUGGGAACUGCCAUUGUGACUGCAAGGCUGGAGUGCGGCAGAGGGGGAUGGAAUUCCGCGUGUAGCAGUGAAAUGCGUAGAUAUGCGGAGGAACACCGAUGGCGAAGGCAAUCCCCUGGGCCUGCACUGACGCUCAUGCACGAAAGCGUGGGGAGCAAACAGGAUUAGAUACCCUGGUAGUCCACGCCCUAAACGAUGUCAACUGGUUGUUGGGGAUUUAUUUCUUCAGUAACGAAGCUAACGCGUGAAGUU
rnacentral:rRNA from 1 species